AACGAACGCUGGCGGCAGGCUUAACACAUGCAAGUCGAACGGACGUAGCAAUACGUUAGUGGCGCACGGGAGAGUAACACGUGGGAACCUACCUUCUGUUUCGGAAUAACGUCGGGAAACUGACGCCACUACCGGAUAAGCCCGAUGGGGGAAGGAUUUAUUGCCAAAAGAUUGGCCCGCGCUAGAUUAGCUUGUUGGUGAGGUAAUGGCUCACCAAGGCUACGAUCUAUAGCUGGUCUGAGAGGAUGAUCAGCCUCACUGGGACUGAGACACGGCCCAGACUCCUACGGGAGGCAGCAGUGGGGAAUAUUGGACAAUGGGGGAAACCCUGAUCCAGCCAUGCCGCGUGAGUGAUGAAGGCCUUCGGGUUGUAAAGCUCUUUUGGAGGGGACGAUGAUGACGGUACCCUCAGAAUAAGCUCCGGCUAACUUCGUGCCAGCAGCCGCAGUAA
rnacentral:rRNA from 1 species